rnacentral:rRNA from 1 species
CACGGUAGCAAUACUGGUGGCGACCGGCGCACGGGUGCGUAACACGUAUACAAUCUGCCUCUUACAGGGGGAUAGCCCGGAGAAAUCCGGAUUAAUACCCCAUAACAAUGGGUUUGGCAUCAAACCUAUUUAAAAGUUCCGACGGUAAGAGAUGAGUAUGCGUCUGAUUAGCUAGUUGGUGAGGUAACGGCUCACCAAGGCGACGAUCAGUAGGGGAUCUGAGAGGAUUAACCCCCACACGGAUACUGAGACACGGAUCCGACUCCUACGGGAGGCAGCAGUAAGGAAUAUUGGACAAUGCCCGCAAGGGUGAUCCAGCCAUGCCGCGUGCAGGAAGACGGCCCUAUGGGUUGUAAACUGCUUUUGUACCGGAGAAAACCUCCCUACGUGUAGGGAGCUGAUAGUAUGGUAAGAAUAAGCAUCGGCUAACUUCGUGCCAGCAGCCGCGGUAAGACGAAGGAUGCAAGCGUUAUCCGGAUUCAUUGGGUUUAAAGGGAGCGUAGGUGGUCUUAUAAGUCAGUGGUGAAAUCUCGCAGCUUAACUGCGAAAUUGCCAUUGAUACUGUAGGACUUGAGUACAGUUGCCGUUGGCGGAAUAUGACAUGUAGUGGUGAAAUACAUAGAGAUGUCAUAGAACACCGAUUGCGAAGGCAGCUAACGAAACUGUAACUGACACUGAGGCUCGAAAGUGCGGGGAUCAAACAGGAUUAGAUACCCUGGUAGUCCGCACUGUAAACGAUGAUUACUCGCUGCUAGAUGGUAACAUUUAGUGGCUUAGCGAAAGCGAUAAGUAAUCCACCUGGGGAGUAC